UUACAGAGUUGCAAAACUCCCUAAACCAUUGUGAACGUUACCUAUACCGUUGCUUCGGCGGGCGGCCCAGGGGUUUACCCCCCGGGCGCCCCUGGGCCCCACCGCGGGCGCCCGCCGGAGGUCACCAAACUCUUGAUCAUUUAUGGCCUCUCUGAGUCUUCUGUACUGAAUAAGUCAAAACUUUCAACAACGGAUCUCUUGGUUCUCGCAUCGAUGAAGAACGCAGCGAAAUGCGAUAAGUAAUGUGAAUUGCAGAAUUCAGUGAAUCAUCGAAUGUUUGAACGCACAUUGCGCCCGCCAGCAUUCUGGCGGGCAUGCCUGUUCGAGCGUCAUUUCAACCAUCAGGCCCCCGGGCUUGUGUUGGGGACCUGCGGCUGCCGCAGGCCCUGAAAAGCAGUGGCGGGCUCGCUGUCACACCGAGCGUAGUAGCAUACAUCUCGCUCUGGUCGCGCCGCGGGUUCCGGCCGUUAAACCACCUUUUAA
rnacentral:sRNA from 1 species